UGCAGAUCUAGUGGCAUGUCACCCCUGA
rnacentral:piRNA from 1 species